rnacentral:rRNA from 1 species
AACGCACCUUGCGCUCCUUGGUAUUCCGAGGAGCAUAUCUGUUUGAGUGUCAUGAACUCUUCAACCCACCAUUUUUUCAAUGCCUUGCGCGGCGAACAAUGAACGUGGUGCUUGGAUUCUUGAGCGUCUGCCGGCUUGUCCAAAGCCUUGGCUCGCUCGUAAUACAUGAGCAUCUCUGAUCCUAGCCUUUGGAUUGACUCAGUGUAAUAGACUAUUUCGCUGAGGAACAGCCCGUUCGGGCGGCCAAGCUUGGUGAACAUGGGAAGCUUCUAAUCUCAUGCCCUUCUCUUGAAGAGCUAUUUUUGAUUUUAGACCUCAAAUCAGAUAGGACUACCCGCUGAACUUAA